UACCAGCACCCCGAGUGGUCGGGACGAUUACUGGGCCUAAAGCAUCCGUAGCCGGUUCUACAAGUCUUCCGUUAAAUCCACCUGCUUAACAGAUGGGCUGCGGAGGAUACUAUAGAGCUAGGAGGCGGGAGAGGCAAGCGGUACUUAGUGGGUAGGGGUAAAAUCCGUUGAUCCAUUGAAGACCACCAGUGGCGAAGGCGGCUUGCCAGAACGCACUCGACGGUGAGGGAUGAAAGCUGGGGGAGCAAACCGG
rnacentral:rRNA from 1 species